rnacentral:rRNA from 1 species
AGUGAACGCUGGCGGUAGGCCUAACACAUGCAAGUCGAACGGCAGCACAGGAGAGCUUGCUCUCUGGGUGGCGAGUGGCGGACGGGUGAGGAAUACAUCGGAAUCUACUCUGUCGUGGGGGAUAACGUAGGGAAACUUACGCUAAUACCGCAUACGACCUACGGGUGAAAGCAGGGGACCUUCGGGCCUUGCGCGAUUGAAUGAGCCGAUGUCGGAUUAGCUAGUUGGCGGGGUAAAGGCCCACCAAGGCGACGAUCCGUAGCUGGUCUGAGAGGAUGAUCAGCCACACUGGAACUGAGACACGGUCCAGACUCCUACGGGAGGCAGCAGUGGGGUAUAUUGGACAAUGGGCGCAAGCCUGAUCCAGCCAUACCGCGUGGGUGAAGAAGGCCUUCGGGUUGUAAAGCCCUUUUGUUGGGAAAGAAAUCCAGCUGGCUAAUACCCGGUUGGGAUGACUGUACCGGGAGAAUAAGCCCCGGCUAACUCCGUGCCAGCCGCCGCAGUAA